AUUGAACGCUGCGGCAGGCUUAACACAUGCAAGUCGAGCGAGCGGCGGACGGGUGAGUAAUGCUUAGGAAUCUGCCUAUUAGUGGGGGACAACAUUACGAAAGGGAUGCUAAUACCACAUACUAAUAGAUUAGCCUAAGUCGGAUUGGGUAGUUGGUGGGGUAAAGGCCGAAGAAGGCGACGAUCCGUAGCGGGUGUGAGAGGAGGAUCCGCCACACUGGGACUGAGGAACGGCCCAGACUCCUACGGGAGGCAGCAGGGGGGAAUAUUGGGCAAUGGGGGGAACCCUGGUCCAGCCAUGCCGCGUGUGUGAAGAAGGCCUUAUGGUUGUAAAGCACUUUUAGCGAGGAGGCGUUACUCGCAGAAUAAGCACCGGCUAACUCUGUGCCAGCAGCCGCGGUAAUUC
rnacentral:rRNA from 1 species